CCUACGGGGGGCUGCAGUGGGGAAUAUUGGACAAUGGGGGGAACCCUGAUCCAGCCAUGCCGCGUGUGUGAAGAAGGCCCUCGGGUUGUAAAGCACUUUCAGUGAGGAAGAACGCCUGGUGGUUAAUACCCAUCAGGAAAGACAUCACUCACAGAAGAAGCACCGGCUAACUCCGUGCCAGCAGCCGCGGUAAUACGGAGGGUGCGGGCGUUAAUCGGAAUUACUGGGCGUAAAGCGCGCGUAGGUGGCUUGAUAAGCCGGUUGUGAAAGCCCCGGGCUCAACCUGGGAACGGCAUCCGGAACUGUCAAGCUAGAGUGCAGGAGAGGAAGGUAGAAUUCCCGGUGUAGCGGUGAAAUGCGUAGAGAUCGGGAGGAAUACCAGUGGCGAAGGCGGCCUUCUGGACUGACACUGACACUGAGGUGCGAAAGCGUGGGUAGCAAACAGGAUUAGAUACCCUUGUAGUC
rnacentral:rRNA from 1 species